GCCUGCUGCUGCUGCUGUUUAUUUGGAGUCUAUUUUGGAGUCUGCGUCUCUCUCUCUCUCUCUCCCCGUGGCUGUGGUCAAUCAGCUGCAUGGCACGCGCUGUUUAAAGAUGAGGCCCACACCGUGUUUGAAUGAGCGAGUUAAAGGUUUGGCUUUAAAUCCACAAUGGGGGUGGGGGGAGCGGGGUUGAGGGUAUUGUGGUUUAGACAAUGGGGGUCAGGGUAUUGUGUUCAGACAAUGGGGAGUCAGGGUAUUGUGUUUAGACAAUCAGGGUCAGGGUAUUGUGUUUAGACAAUGGGAGUCAGGGUAUUGUGUUUAUACAAUGGGAGUCAGGGUAUUGUGUUUAGACAAUGGGGGUCAGGGUAUUGUGUUCAGACAAUGGGGGUAUUGUGUUUAGACAAUGGGGGUCAGGGUAUUGUGUUCAGACAAUGGGGAGUCAGGGUAUUGUGUUUAGACAAUGAGGGUAUUGUGUUUAGACAAUGGGGAGUCAGGGUAUUGUGUUUAGACAAUGGGGGUAUUGUGUUUAGACAAUGGGGAGUCAGGGUAUUGUGUUUAGACAAUGGGAGUCAGGGUAUUGUGUUCAGACAAUGGGGAGUCAGGGUAUUGUGUUUAGAUAAUGGGAGUCAGGUUAUUGUGUUUAGACAAUGGGGGUAUUGUGUUUAGACAAUGGGGAGUCAGGGUAUUGUGUUUAGACAAUGGGGAGUCAGGGUAUUGUGUUUAGACAAUGGGGAGUCAGGGUAUUGUGUUUAGACAAUGGGGGUAUUGUGUUUAGACAAUGGGGAGUCAGGGUAUUGUGUUUAGACAAUGGGGGUCAGGGUAUUGUGUUUAGACAAUGGGGGUAUUGUGUUUAGACAAUGGGGAGUCAGGGUAUUGUGUUUAUACAAUGGGAGUCAGGGUAUUGUGUUUAGACAAUGGGGGUCAGGGUAUUGUGUUUAGACAAUGGGAGUCAGGGUAUUGUGUUUAGACAAUGGGGGUCAGGGUAUUGUGUUUAGACAAUGGGGAGUCAGGGUAUUGUGUUUAGACAAUGGGGAGUCAGGGUAUUGUGUUUAGACAAUGGGGAGUCAGGGUAUUGUGUUUAGACAAUGGGGGUCAGGGUAUUGUGUUUAGACAAUGGGGGUCAGGUUAUUGUGUUUAGACAAUCAGGGUCAGGGUAUUGUGUUUAGACAAUGGGAGUCAGGGUAUUGUGUUUAGACAAUGGGGGUCAGGGUAUUGUGUUUAGACAAUGAGGGUAUUGUGUUUAGACAAUGGGGAGUCAGGGUAUUGUGUUUAGACAAUGUGGGUAUUGUGUUUAGACAAUGGGGAGUCAGGGUAUUGUGUUUAGACAAUGGGGGUCAGGUUAUUGUGUUUAGACAAUGGGGAGUCAGGGUAUUGUGUUUAGACAAUGAGGGUAUUGUGUUUAGACAAUGGGGAGUCAGGGUAUUGUGUUUAGACAAUGUGGGUAUUGUGUUUAGACAAUGGGGAGUCAGGGUAUUGUGUUUAGACAAUGGGGAGUCAGGGUAUUGUGUUUAGACAAUGGGGAGUCAGGGUAUUGUGUUUAGACAAUGGGGAGUCAGGGUAUUGUGUUUAGACAAUGGGGAGUCAGGGUAUUGUGUUUAGACAAUGGGGGUCAGGGUAUUGUGUUUAGACAAUGGGGGUCAGGGUAUUGUGUUUAGACAAUGGGGAGUCAGGGUAUUGUGUUUAGACAAUGUGGGUAUUGUGUUUAGACAAUGGGGAGUCAGGGUAUUGUGUUUAGACAAUGGGGGUCAGGUUAUUGUGUUUAGACAAUGGGGAGUCAGGGUAUUGUGUUUAGACAAUGAGGGUAUUGUGUUUAGACAAUGGGGAGUCAGGGUAUUGUGUUUAGACAAUGUGGGUAUUGUGUUUAGACAAUGGGGGUCAGGGUAUUGUGUUUAGACAAUGGGGAGUCAGGGUAUUGUGUUUAGACAAUGGGGAGUCAGGGUAUUGUGUUUAGACAAUGGGGAGUCAGGUUAUUGUGUUUAGACAAUGGGGAGUCAGGGUAUUGUGGUUAGACAAUGGGGAGUCAGGGUAUUGUGUUUAGACAAUGGGGAGUCAGGGUAUUGUGUUUAGACAAUGGGGGUAUUGUGUUUAGACAAUGGGGAGUCAGGGUAUUGUGUUUAGACAAUGGGGGUCAGGGUAUUGUGUUUAGACAAUGGGGAGUCAGGGUAUUGUGUUUAGACAAUGGGGAGUCAGGGUAUUGUGUUUAGACAAUGGGGAGUCAGGGUAUUGUGUUUAGACAAUGGGGAUCAGGGUAUUGUGUUUAGACAAUGGGGGUAUUGUGUUUACACAAUGGGGAGUCAGGUUAUUGUGUUUAGACAAUGGGGAGUAUUGUGUUUAGACAAUGGGGGUCAGGUUAUUGUGUUUAGACAAUGGGGGUAUUGUGUUUAGACAAUGGGGGUCAGGUUAGUGUGUUUAGACAAUGGGGGUCAGGUUAUUGUGUUCAGACAAUGGGGAGUCAGGGUAUUGUGUUUAGACAAUGGGGGGUAUUGUGUUUAGACAAUGGGGGUCAGGGUAUUGUGUUUAGACAAUGGGAGUCAGGUUAUUGUGUUCAGACAAUGGGGAGUCAGGGUAUUGUGUUUAGACAAUGGGGGUCAGGUUAUUGUGUUCAGACAAUGGGGAGUCAGGGUAUUGUGUUUAGACAAUGGGGGGUAUUGUGUUUAGACAAUGGGGGUCAGGGUAUUGUGUUUAGACAAUGGGAGUCAGGUUAUUGUGUUCAGACAAUGGGGAGUCAGGGUAUUGUGUUUAGACAAUGGGAAUCAGGUUAUUGUGUUUAGACAAUCAGGGUCAGGGUAUUGUGUUUAGACAAUUGGGAGUCAGGGUAUUGUGUUUAGACAAUGGGGAGUCAGGGUAUUGUGUUUAGACAAUUGGGAGUCAGGGUAUUGUGUUUAGACAAUGGGGAGUCAGGGUAUUGUGUUUAGACAAUGGGAGUCAGGUUAUUGUGUUCAGACAAUGGGGAGUCAGGGUAUUGUGUUUAAACAAUGUGAGUCAGGUUAUUGUGUUUAGACAAUGGGGAGUCAGGGUAUUGUGUUUAAACAAUGGGGAGUUGGUUAUUGUGUUUAGACAAUGGGGUGUAUUGUGUUUAGACAAUGGGGGUCAGGUUAUUGAGAUUAGACAAUGGGGGUCAGGAUUAUUGGCUCCCUAGCGUGGAAGAGUAGACCAAGGGAGCCGCCUCAAGUGGACGAGGUGGUGGAGGUGGU